UUUUUCACCACAGUUUACAGAUCAGCAAGUGGAUAAGAAAACGCCUCGUCUAGUCAGAUGCUGGCCAAUCCCGAGCUCUAGUCCACCUAGGGCCCCGCCCACCACUGAGGACAGGCCAGUCGCUUUGAGACUGGUGAGAGAGUCUGUGGGUUUGAGCGCUGCACAGAAGGACCCCAGCAGAAAUACAAUGGGUCUAGAAUGAGGGUUCAGAUGGAAAUGAAGUCCGAGGAGUGAGAGAGACCAGGGUUUGGAUCUUAGGAAAGAAGGCAUCUAAAAAUAUUACAAGAUGUUCAGCCCAUUACGUGGUGCACAGGAGAUCAAAACAAAGCAAAACAAAACACCAACUGCAUGACCCAGGCUCUACCUCCUAGGAAUGCACGAUGUAUUAAUUUUGAUGAUAUCAUUAAAGGCUCAGAAUUUU